rnacentral:pre_miRNA from 1 species
AAUGAUAGGGGAAAUCUCUUUUGGCAGAGAGGAGUAGCUAGAGAGCUUGAACAUGCUUGCUUCUAGUUUGCCAAAGAAGAUUUGCCCUGCCAUU